GGACGAGUAGGGUCUGGGGUUGGGGGUGGGAGCGUUACCUGCGUGGAGCGGGUCUGUGGGCCCUUGUGGUGGGGCUGGGAGGGAGGAGGGCGUGGGAGAAGAGGAAGGCACUUUCCCCAGGGGCAAAGCUUGCGACCUGGCACUGAAGGCAGAGAUCUCCACACCUCUUUGCCGUGCAUUCCCACGAAGCGAUCGUCCUUCCUGUGCUCCAAAUUUCCCUCUUCCUGGGGAACCCCUGAAGAAAAGUACUACAGGGACGGAAGCAGAAACGUCUGCAAAUCUGAUUGCACGGAAGUCUUUUGUGACUGGGAGAACAGGACUUUGGAACCAGUUGGCAACAGAGUUGUUUUUAGCACCUUGAUUCUCCCCAGCCUGGAUCCGCGCUGAGUGAGCUCUGAAGGUAGCUGAACCUGCAGCUUUGCUGCAAGGUGAGUACCAGGCUUGAGUGCAGUGUAUGCUGUGGCCUGUGCCCUCUUCAUCCACAUGGCUGAGCG
rnacentral:lncRNA from 1 species